CUCAGACGCGUAAUUUUACCUGUGUGUGUAUGGAGGCACGCUUUUACCAUAAAAUCAUUGAUGCAGAACAGUUGGGAUAAAACCAAAACGUACAAAUAACCUCUGGCAUACUGAUUAUCUUCGUCAUUGACAUUUUAUUUUAUGGGUCACCGGAAUCAAUGAAUGGUAUCUGAAGGGAGCUAGAUUUUUUUGCAAACAUUUCUGGAUUUAAAAAAACCUUUUCAAAAACAAACAUGGUGUGGAUAGGGAGCAACAAAUUUUCAAAAGAUGUAUUUCACCACUCUAGAUGGAAAUUAAACUGGAACAAUACAAGCUUUGAAAUGCUAGGAAUUAAAUUCUCUGUAAACCUCUGGGAAAUGAUUGAUAAUAACUACAUUCCAAAGCUAUCGACCAUUCAAAAAUUAAUAGAUCAGUGGAAAAGAAGGAAACUAACACCACUUGGCAGAUUAUCAAUUAUUAAAUCAUUACUUAUCCCUAAACUUAACCACUUAAUACUAACCCUACCCAACCCUGGGCAGGAAUACUUAAAAAAAAUUGAGAUUGAGCUGUAUAAAUUUCUUUGAGGAGAUAGUACACAUAAAAUUAAGAAAAACACGGUUGUCCAAGAUUAUAGAUUUGGAGGUUUAAAAAUGACUGAUUAUACUGAGUUCACAGUGGCCUUAAAAUCAUUAUGGAUUAGAAAAUUAUUUCAUGCUGACUCCAAAUGAAUAAAACUUCUAGAGUCCACUCUUCAAAUGAAAGUAUCGGAGUUACUGCAAAAAGGGUCUGACUUUAUUUCCAAUAUAUCAAAAAGAAUAAAUAAUGUGUUUUGGAAAGAUGUUUUCUUAAGCUGGGUAAAAAUAAUCAAUAUCAACAGUCAGAUUGACUCUUAUAUUCUAAAUGAACACAUAUGGUUUAAUCCCAAAGUAAAGAUAGAUAAUACAUCCAUCUUCCUGAUACAUUAUUACAAUGCAGGAUUUGUUUUCAUCAAAGAUCUUGAUAGUAACGGAAAUUUCUUAAGAUUACAAGAUAUGCUUAAGUUAAACAUAAAAACUAACUUUGUUGAAUAUGCUGGACUUGAAAAAGCAGUAUUAACCGAGUUUCCUAACCACUUUGGAAAAAAAUUAAUAGGACCAACCCUCCCAAAGUCUAUCAUGCUCUUCUAUAAAAACAGUAAAGGAUGUAAAGAUAUAUACAAUAUUCUUUUGCACACAAAAAGAGAGACAAUUACUUCUGUAAAAAAAAAAUGGAAAGAAAAUGAGUACAAUUUUGUUGAAAGUAAUUGGAAUAAGAUUUUUGAACUUCCCUCCAAAGCUACACAAGAGUCAAAAUUGCAUUGGCUGCAAUUUCAGAUAGUCCAUAGAAUACUCCCUACUAACAAGUAUUUAUUCCAACUGAAAAUUAAAGACUCUCCAAUGUGCAGCUUUUGUGGUGUUCAUAUCGAAACAUUAGAACAUUUUUUUUUUCGAUUGCAUACAAAUAAAGGAGCUAUGGUGUGAUGUUGAACAAUGGAUUUUAGAACAGUUUCAUAUCCCUGUAAAUUUUGACAAGCUCACUGUACUAUUAGGUAAAUACUGUAAUAGACAUAUGUAUAAAGUUCAAAACUUGAUUUUGCUUAGAUCUAUAGUAAAACAAUAUGUUUUUUCUUGUAAAUGUCAAAAGAGUCCGCAAGUACAUAUAUCUGCGAUUGGAAAAAUAGUUACAGACAGAAUUGUGGUUGAGAAGUACUUGCUGCUACAAAACUGUAGAUAUGAUGAAUAUGAAACUCACUGGCAGAGAAUAUGUGAAAAUCUAUGUUAGUAAUUAGGUCUAUUUGUACUUUUUCAUCAAAUAGGUUUGUGCUUCUUUUUGUGUUUGAUCAAUAGAUAUAUUAUAUCUAGACCUAUUAUACUUAUCAAAAUCUGUUACCAAGAAACUAAUACCUUAUGUACCUCUCUCUCUCUCUCUCUCUCUCUCUCUCUCUCUCUCUCUCUCUCUCUCUCUCUCUCUCUCUCUCUCCUGAAAAAGACUUUUACAUCAUACAUAUACUUACAUAAAAGAAUAAGGUAAAUAUGAAAUGUAGACAGUAUUAGAGUUAAUAUUAAUGAGUUCGUAUUUUAAAAUGAAUUUAAUAUGUUGUGAAAAUAUCCAUGUAACCUAUCUCCCAUAUGUAUGCAACAGUGUAUGUAUGAAGUGAAAAUUUUGUAAAUAAAAACAUUAUUUAAAAAAAAAGUAAUGUGCAGCACGCCUGCCUCUCUCUCUCUCUCUCUCUCUCUGUCUGCCUCUCUCCCCCCCCCUCUCUCUCUCUCAUGAAUAUGUAUGUGUGUUUUUAUUUGCUACGUAAAAUUUAAGUGGAGGAUACCAAAAAUAUAUAGCACAACAAUAAGCACGUGUAUGAAACACGUGAUCGACUGUAUACUGUCUCUUUUACAAAGUAUUACGAAAUGACAUCGUUUAAUAAUAAUUUUAGGCAGCAUUGUCAUCAUAUUUAUGUAUUGCUUUUUAUUUGUCGGAUUUGUUAAUCUAUUUAACACAUCCUUUUGUACAUAAGUUAAAAUACUCUUGUCAUUUAUUUCCUCAAUAAAUGACCAUUCUAAUUCCUGAC